UCCCUGGUGGUCCAGUGGUUAAGACUCUGUGCUUCCAACGCAGGAGCAUAGGGUCAAUCCCUGGUCAGGGAA
rnacentral:tRNA from 1 species